rnacentral:rRNA from 1 species
UUAAGCGACUAAGCGUACACGGUGGAUGCCCUGGCAGUCAGAGGCGAUGAAGGACGUGCUAAUCUGCGAUAAGCGUCGGUAAGGUGAUAUGAACCGUUAUAACCGGCGAUUUCCGAAUGGGGAAACCCAGUGUGAUUCGUCACACUAUCAUUAACUGAAUCCAUAGGUUAAUGAGGCGAACCGGGGGAACUGAAACAUCUAAGUACCCCGAGGAAAAGAAAUCAACCGAGAUUCCCCCAGUAGCGGCGAGCGAACGGGGAGCAGCCCAGAGCCUGAAUCAGUGUGUGUGUUAGUGGAAGCGUCUGGAAAGGCACGCGAUACAGGGUGACAGCCCCGUACACAAAAAUGCACAUGCUGUGAGCUCGAUGAGUAGGGCGGGACACGUGGUAUCCUGUCUGAAUAUGGGGGGACCAUCCUCCAAGGCUAAAUACUCCUGACUGACCGAUAGUGAACCAGUACCGUGAGGGAAAGGCGAAAAGAACCCCGGCGAGGGGAGUGAAAAAGAACCUGAAACCGUGUACGUACAAGCAGUGGGAGCACGCUUAGGCGUGUGACUGCGUACCUUUUGUAUAAUGGGUCAGCGACUUAUAUUCUGUAGCAAGGUUAACCGAAUAGGGGAGCCGAAGGGAAACCGAGUCUUAACUGGGCGUUAAGUUGCAGGGUAUAGACCCGAAACCCGGUGAUCUAGCCAUGGGCAGGUUGAAGGUUGGGUAACACUAACUGGAGGACCGAACCGACUAAUGUUGAAAAAUUAGCGGAUGACUUGUGGCUGGGGGUGAAAGGCCAAUCAAACCGGGAGAUAGCUGGUUCUCCCCGAAAGCUAUUUAGGUAGCGCCUCGUGAAUUCAUCUCCGGGGGUAGAGCACUGUUUCGGCAAGGGGGUCAUCCCGACUUACCAACCCGAUGCAAACUGCGAAUACCGGAGAAUGUUAUCACGGGAGACACACGGCGGGUGCUAACGUCCGUCGUGAAGAGGGAAACAACCAGACCGCCAGCUAAGGUCCCAAAGUCAUGGUUAAGUGGGAAACGAUGUGGGAAGGCCCAGACAGCCAGGAUGUUGGCUUAGAAGCAGCCAUCAUUUAAAGAAAGCGUAAUAGCUCACUGGUCGAGUCGGCCUGCGCGGAAGAUGUAACGGGGCUAAACCAUGCACCGAAGCUGCGGCAGCGACACUAUGUGUUGUUGGGUAGGGGAGCGUUCUGUAAGCCUGCGAAGGUGUGCUGUGAGGCAUGCUGGAGGUAUCAGAAGUGCGAAUGCUGACAUAAGUAACGAUAAAGCGGGUGAAAAGCCCGCUCGCCGGAAGACCAAGGGUUCCUGUCCAACGUUAAUCGGGGCAGGGUGAGUCGACCCCUAAGGCGAGGCCGAAAGGCGUAGUCGAUGGGAAACAGGUUAAUAUUCCUGUACUUGGUGUUACUGCGAAGGGGGGACGGAGAAGGCUAUGUUGGCCGGGCGACGGUUGUCCCGGUUUAAGCGUGUAGGCUGGUUUUCCAGGCAAAUCCGGAAAAUCAAGGCUGAGGCGUGAUGACGAGGCACUACGGUGCUGAAGCAACAAAUGCCCUGCUUCCAGGAAAAGCCUCUAAGCAUCAGGUAACAUCAAAUCGUACCCCAAACCGACACAGGUGGUCAGGUAGAGAAUACCAAGGCGCUUGAGAGAACUCGGGUGAAGGAACUAGGCAAAAUGGUGCCGUAACUUCGGGAGAAGGCACGCUGAUAUGUAGGUGAAGCGACUUGCUCGUGGAGCUGAAAUCAGUCGAAGAUACCAGCUGGCUGCAACUGUUUAUUAAAAACACAGCACUGUGCAAACACGAAAGUGGACGUAUACGGUGUGACGCCUGCCCGGUGCCGGAAGGUUAAUUGAUGGGGUUAGCGGUAACGCGAAGCUCUUGAUCGAAGCCCCGGUAAACGGCGGCCGUAACUAUAACGGUCCUAAGGUAGCGAAAUUCCUUGUCGGGUAAGUUCCGACCUGCACGAAUGGCGUAAUGAUGGCCAGGCUGUCUCCACCCGAGACUCAGUGAAAUUGAACUCGCUGUGAAGAUGCAGUGUACCCGCGGCAAGACGGAAAGACCCCGUGAACCUUUACUAUAGCUUGACACUGAACAUUGAGCCUUGAUGUGUAGGAUAGGUGGGAGGCUUUGAAGUGUGGACGCCAGUCUGCAUGGAGCCGACCUUGAAAUACCACCCUUUAAUGUUUGAUGUUCUAACGUUGACCCGUAAUCCGGGUUGCGGACAGUGUCUGGUGGGUAGUUUGACUGGGGCGGUCUCCUCCUAAAGAGUAACGGAGGAGCACGAAGGUUGGCUAAUCCUGGUCGGACAUCAGGAGGUUAGUGCAAUGGCAUAAGCCAGCUUGACUGCGAGCGUGACGGCGCGAGCAGGUGCGAAAGCAGGUCAUAGUGAUCCGGUGGUUCUGAAUGGAAGGGCCAUCGCUCAACGGAUAAAAGGUACUCCGGGGAUAACAGGCUGAUACCGCCCAAGAGUUCAUAUCGACGGCGGUGUUUGGCACCUCGAUGUCGGCUCAUCACAUCCUGGGGCUGAAGUAGGUCCCAAGGGUAUGGCUGUUCGCCAUUUAAAGUGGUACGCGAGCUGGGUUUAGAACGUCGUGAGACAGUUCGGUCCCUAUCUGCCGUGGGCGCUGGAGAACUGAGGGGGGCUGCUCCUAGUACGAGAGGACCGGAGUGGACGCAUCACUGGUGUUCGGGUUGUCAUGCCAAUGGCACUGCCCGGUAGCUAAAUGCGGAAGAGAUAAGUGCUGAAAGCAUCUAAGCACGAAACUUGCCCCGAGAUGAGUUCUCCCUGACUCCCUUGAGAGUCCUGAAGGAACGUUGAAGACGACGACGUUGAUAGGCCGGGUGUGUAAGCGCAGCGAUGCGUUGAGCUAACCGGUACUAAUGAACCGUGAGGCUUAACCUU